rnacentral:rRNA from 1 species
CUUACACAUGCAAGUCGAGGGGCAGCGCGGAUGUAGCAAUACAUCUGGCGGCGACCGGCGGAAGGGUGCGUAACGCGUGAGCAACAUUCCCGCAUCUGGGGGAUAAGCACUGGAAACGGUGUCUAAUACCCCAUAACAACAGGGUUCACAUGAACCUUGUUUGAAAGCUGCGACGGAUGCGGAUUGGCUCGCGUGACAUUAGCUAGUCGGCGGGGUAACGGCCCACCGAGGCGACGAUGUCUAGGGGUUCUGAGAGGAAGGUCCCCCACACUGGAACUGAGACACGGUCCAGACUCCUACGGGAGGCAGCAGUGAGGAAUAUUGGUCAAUGGGCGGAAGCCUGAACCAGCCAUGCCGCGUGAAGGAAUAAGGCCCUAUGGGUCGUAAACUUCUUUUGUGGUGGAGCAAUAAGGGCUACGCGUAGUCCGAUGAGAGUACAUCACGAAUAAGCAUCGGCUAACUCCGUGCCAGCAGCCGCGGUAAUACGGAGGAUGCAAGCGUUAUCCGGAUUUAUUGGGUUUAAAGGGUGCGUAGGCUGUGCCGCAAGUCGGGGGUGAAAGCCCGGGGCCCAACCCCGGAACUGCCCUUGAUACUGCGGCGCUGGAGUUCGGAUGCCGUGGGAGGAAUGAGUAGUGUAGCGGUGAAAUGCAUAGAUAUUACUCAGAACACCGAUUGCGAAGGCAUCUCACGAAUCCGACACUGACGCUGAGGCACGAAAGCGUGGGGAUCAAACAGGAUUAGAUACCCUGGUAGUCCACGCAGUAAACGAUGAUGACUAACUGUCGGCGAUAAACAGUCGGUGGCCAAGCGAA